rnacentral:tRNA from 1 species
UGGCGCAAUUGGCUAGCGCGUCUGACUGUUAAUCAGGAGGUUGGUGGUUCGAGCCCACC